rnacentral:piRNA from 1 species
UAGAGACAAGCCCAGGAUGACAGCCCC